UUUUUAGUGUCGUACUUCUUUGCAUAGCCAUACUGUUCCAAAUAAGCUAUGGAAUGUAAAGAAGUAUGUAACUAUUGA
rnacentral:pre_miRNA from 1 species